rnacentral:sRNA from 1 species
GACGAAAACACGCAAAAUGGUAGACCUACAAGGAUUAUUGUGCCACGCGACUACCACGUGAGUUCCAGGUGAAAACGCGCCUCAGGCUUCUAUAGGUAUUACUACUUUGAACUCCUAUCUUGAGAUCUAAGGCAACUUAGCAGUGGAAGAAGGCACCAGCGGAUAAAGAUAAACCUGGAAAGGUUUAAUGACGAUCUUACGGGUUAACAUCGAGGUAAUUUUCACCGACUUCUAACACGAUUUGCCUUCUAGGUAUCCGUAGGGAAAUUCUUCGCAUGUAACAGUUUCCACAACAUCUUUCUUCGCCCUCUUCAUUACCUCCCUCCUCUUCAUCCCUGCUUCGACGCCAAUACCAGCGAACACAACCCCCACGCCCAUCCAUUGGCCCCUUGUGAGCCUGUGCUCAAAGACGACGACACUAAGAAGCAUAGUAAAAAGCUUCCUUGUGACGGUGACCAUGACGAGGGUAAGAGAACCAAAGUGCUGGAUGGUUUCAAAGAUGAAGAGUUGACCCAAGCCACCAAGAAGGGCGUAUGCAAAGAGAGGCGGAAGAGCGGAAGGGUGGGAAAGGAGGAAAGAGAUAGAUUCCAAUGCCGCAGGAGGGGAGAAGCUGAGAGUAGAGGUGGGCACAGAAGAGCCAAGAGGCGGAGGUAAAUGGGCG